AUGAAUCUUGUUUAUGUAGUACUAUCCAAUUGUAGAGAGAAGUGUUUACCUGCUUGUUUAUUAAUUUACAGUUGUGUUCCCCAGCUGCAAUCAGAGCAGUUUCUCUUUCAGAAGUUUAUUAAAAGCAAGCAUCAAAGAGAAGGUAAAUGCAUGCCAAAUCUUGCAACGAUAUUGGCAUGCUCCCAAAGUUGCAAAAUAAUGAAGAAAAUGUUGAGAUUGGGACUCUGUGCCCAUUUUAGCAACAUGCCUUGUAAGUGCAAUUAAAGCUGCCACUCAAGAAACACAACAAAAACAGAAAAACAAAGGAGAGCUAAAAGAUAACAUAGAAACGUUCUGAAGUAUCAUCUUAUACCUGCAGUUUCAUUCUUAAAAGGUAAUAAUAAUUAUUUAGGGGCUGUGGGUAUUUUGGUCUACACAUCCAUGGUAGGCCAAGUCUGGUCAGCCCAACGUGAGAUGUGGUGCCUAUGUCUAAAAGCAGCUAUUUUAGGGGCUACACUGCACUGGUCUAGUCCAUGGAUGGGUUACCUACCAGCUGUCAAUGUGGCUCUUGUAGACAUCUGGACCACCUGGGAGGUUAUCUUCCUACUGCUUGUAUCUAGGUGUCCAGACCUGUCAUACCACGAGGGAGACCCUAACUUUGUCUGUAGGAUGGGACAAUAUAAAUGUAUAGAAGUGUAAAGGUAGUUUAAGGACACUUAAGUCUUGCUGCCACUUGCUAUUACAAUUAUUGAUUAAUGCUGUUAUUACAGGGAGAGGCCUCUCAGUGUGAAAGCGUUUUUGUUAUUCUUCAGUCUCCACCAUCAUAUUUUUUGCAGAAGUUACUCAUGACAGAUGCAACUUUCCUGGCUCCAAAGGUAGGGAAAAUAAAACAUAACAUAUUGCAAAAACUUAUGAAAAC
rnacentral:lncRNA from 1 species